rnacentral:rRNA from 1 species
GAUGAACGCUAGCUACAGGCUUAACACAUGCAAGUCGAGGGGAAACGACAUCGAAAGCUUGCUUUUGAUGGGCGUCGACCGGCGCACGGGUGGGUAACGCGUAUCCAACCUGCCCACCACUUGGGGAUAACCUUGCGAAAGUAAGACUAAUACCCAAUGAUAUCUCUAGAAGACAUCUGAAAGAGAUUAAAGAUUUAUCGGUGAUGGAUGGGGAUGCGUCUGAUUAGCUUGUUGGCGGGGUAACGGCCCACCAAGGCAACGAUCAGUAGGGGUUCUGAGAGGAAGGUCCCCCACAUUGGAACUGAGACACGGUCCAAACUCCUACGGGAGGCAGCAGUGAGGAAUAUUGGUCAAUGGACGAGAGUCUGAACCAGCCAAGUAGCGUGCAGGAAGACGGCCCUAUGGGUUGUAAACUGCUUUUAUAAGGGAAUAAAGUGAGUCUCGUGAGACUUUUUGCAUGUACCUUAUGAAUAAGGACCGGCUAAUUCCGUG